GGCUGCAGGCUUCGGUGAGAAAUCAGCUGGGAUGAUGGGGUUGAUAUCUGGCAACAGGGGUGAGGCAGGACCAAGAGGGCCUCCUGGACAGCCUGGUCAACCAGGCCCUACAGGGGGACAGGGUGCCCCAGGAGACGUUGGAGACCCAGGAUCCAUGGGCGGCUUUGGUUACAGAGGACCUGAGGGCCCACCAGGAAAAUCAGGACCAGAUGGAGAACCUGGUCCAACCGGAAUAGGCGGAGAGAAGG